rnacentral:pre_miRNA from 1 species
UCCUGUUCUGUGUAUGGCACUGGUAGAAUUCACUGUGAAAACACUCGAUCAGUGAAUUACCAACGGGCCAUAAACGGAGCAGAGAAAGAACC